rnacentral:rRNA from 1 species
AAAUUGAAGAGUUUGAUCAUGGCUCAGAUUGAACGCUGGCGGCAGGCCUAACACAUGCAAGUCGAACGGUAACAGGAAGCAGCUUGCUGCUUCGCUGACGAGUGGCGGACGGGUGAGUAAUGUCUGGGAAACUGCCUGAUGGAGGGGGAUAACUACUGGAAACGGUGGCUAAUACCGCAUAACGUCGCAAGACCAAAGAGGGGGACCUUCGGGCCUCUUGCCAUCRGAUGUGCCCAGAUGGG